UUUGCAGCUUGCCUCACAAUGUAGGCACCACUCCUAUCAACCUUGGUAGGAUCCUUCCCAGAGAAGGCACCACCACCAUGUGCACCCCAUCCUCCAUAGGUGUCGAUGAUGAUCUUGCGGCCGGUGAGACCAGCAUCGCCAUGCGGCCCUCCAAUGACAAACCUGCCAGAAGGGUUCAAAUGGAAAAUGGUCUUCUCAUCAAGGUACUUCUCAGGAAUCACAGGCUUAAUCACGUGUUCUUUAAGAUCAGCUGCAAUCUCAUCAUUUGUGACAGUCUCAUCAUGCUGUGUGGAGAUGAGCACAGUGUGGACGCGGAUUGGAACCAUGGCACCCUUGUCAUUGUAGUACUCA
rnacentral:lncRNA from 1 species